GAUGAACGCUAGCGGCAGGCUUAACACAUGCAAGUCGAGGGGUAGUAGUUCUUCGGAAUUAGAGACCGGCGCACGGGUGCGUAACGCGUAUGCAAUCUACCUUUCACAAAGGGAUAGCCCCAGAGAAAUUUGGAUUAAUACCUUAUAGUAAUACGACUUGGCAUCAAGAUGUAUUUAAAGAUUUAUCGGUGAAAGAUGAGCAUGCGUCCCAUUAGCUUGUUGGUAAGGUAACGGCUUACCAAGGCACGAUGGUAGGGGUCCUGAGAGGGAGAUCCCCCACACUGGUACUGAGACACGGACCAGACUCCUACGGGAGGCAGCAGUGAGGGAAUAUUGGACAAUGGGCGCAAGCCUGAUCCAGCCAUGCCGCGUGCAGGAUGACGGUCCUAUGGAUUGUAAACUGCUUUUGUACAGGAAGAAACCCUUUCACGUGUGGAAGAUUGACGGUACUGUAAGAAUAAGGACUCGG
rnacentral:rRNA from 1 species